rnacentral:rRNA from 1 species
GAUCAUGGCUCAGAACGAACGCUGGCGGCAGGCUUAACACAUGCAAGUCAAGGGGGUGUAGCAAUACACAACCGGCGCACGGGUGAGUAACGCGUGGGAAUAUGUCCAUUUGUGGGGGAUAGCUUCUGGAAACGGAAGGUAAUACCGCAUAAGCCCUGAGGGGGAAAGAUUUAUCGCGAAUGGAGUGGCCCGCGUUGGAUUAGUUAGUUGGUUAGGUAAAGGCUGACCAAGGCGAAGAUCCAUAGCUGGU